rnacentral:rRNA from 1 species
CAUUAAAAGGAGGGGCAACCUGAUCAGCCAUGCCGCGUGUGUGAAGAAGGCCCUCGGGUUGUAAAGCACUUUCAGCGAGGAAGAAUGCUUGUCGGUUAAUACCCGGGAAGGGAGACAUCACUCGCCUAAGAAGCACCGGCUAACUCCGUGCCAGCAGCCGCGGUAAUACGGAGGGUGCGAGCGUUAAUCGGAAUUACUGGGCGUAAUGCGUGCGUAGGCGGCUUGAUAAGCCGGUUGUGAAAGCCCCGGGCUCAACCUGGGAACGGCAUCCGGAACUGUUAGGCUAGAGUGCAGGAGAGGAAGGUAGAAUUCCCGGUGUAGCGGUGAAAUGCGUAGAGAUCGGGAGGAAUACCAGUGGCGAAGGCGGCCUUCUGGACUGACACUGACGCUGAGGUACGAAAGCGUGGGUAGCAAACAGGAUUAGAUACCCUGGUAGUCCACGCCGUAAACGAUGUCGACUAGCCGUUGGGGUCCUCGAGACCUUUGUGGCGCAGUUAACGCACUAAGUCGACCGCCUGGGGAGUACGGCCGCAAGGUUAAAACUCAAAUGAAUUGACGGGGGCCCGCACAAGCGGUGGAGCAUGUGGUUUAAUUCGAUGCAACGCGAAGAACCUUACCUACCCUUGACAUCGUGCGAACUUUCCAGAGAUGGAUUGGUGCCUUCGGGAGCGCACAGACAGGUGCUGCAUGGCUGUCGUCAGCUCGUGUUGUGAAAUGUUGGGUUAAGUCCCGUAACGAGCGCAACCCUUGUCCCUAUUUGCCAGCGAUUCGGUCGGGAACUCUAGGGAGACUGCCGGUGACAAACCGGAGGAAGGUGGGGACGACGUCAAGUCAUCAUGGCUCUUACGGGUAGGGCUACACACGUGCUACAAUGGCCGGGUACAAUGGGUUGCAAAGCGG